rnacentral:rRNA from 1 species
ACGGGUUAGUAACGCGUGGGAACGUACCCUUUUCUACGGAAUAGCCUCUGGAAACGGAGAGUAAUACCGUAUGAGCCCUUCGGGGGAAAGAUUUAUCGGGAAAGGAUCGGCCCGCGUUAGAUUAGGUAGUUGGUGGGGUAAUGGCCUACCAAGCCUACGAUCUAUAGCUGGUUUUAGAGGAUGAUCAGCAACACUGGGACUGAGACACGGCCCAGACUCCUACGGGAGGCAGCAGUGGGGAAUCUUGGACAAUGGGCGCAAGCCUGAUCCAGCCAUGCCGCGUGAGUGAUGAAGGCCUUAGGGUCGUAAAGCUCUUUCGCCUGUGAAGAUAAUGACGGUAGCAGGUAAAGAAACCCCGGCUAACUCCGUGCCAGCAGCCGCGGUAAUACGGAGGGGGUUAGCGUUGUUCGGAAUUACUGGGCGUAAAGCGCACGUAGGCGGACCGGAAAGUAUGGGGUGAAAUCCCAGGGCUCAACCCUGGAACUGCCUCAUAAACUAUCGGUCUAGAGUUCGAGAGAGGUGAGUGGAAUUCCGAGUGUAGAGGUGAAAUUCGUAGAUAUUCGGAGGAACACCAGUGGCGAAGGCGGCUCACUGGCUCGAUACUGACGCUGAGGUGCGAAAGUGUGGGGAGCAAACAGGAUUAGAUACCCUGGUAGUCCACACCGUAAACGAUGAAUGCCAGUCGUCGGGUAGCAUGCUAUUCGGUGACACACCUAACGGAUUAAGC